CAAUGAUUGAGAAGCAGUUUGACCAAUGGCGUGCGUAAGGCGGGACUUAACAAGAAAGGUCAAAACAGUGCAGAAACGCACACCAAAAAUUGUCUACCAUAGAAAGCAAAAGGGGAAAUUUCCUGCGACAUUGUGAGGUCAUCAUACUGGUGCACCCUUGGCCUUGUCAGUGGGUGAGGUCACAUCACUAAACUGUCUGAAGAAGCAUCAACAUGGAGAUUGAAUUGGAGACCAUUGUUCUGUUCGAAUUGUAGUUUGUGGAAGAUGCAAUGAUGAAAUUAAUUUGAAUUGUCAAUGUUGUAUUUUAAGCAUAUAAGCGAUGUUCAGAUGAUGGUACUGUAGCACUGUUUAAAGUUUUUAAUAUUGUUGUUAUUUACAAUGGAAACUACUGUAACAGAAGAAAAU